GACGAACGCUGGCGGCGUGCUUAACACAUGCAAGUCGAACGGGGCUCAUCGCUUCGGUGGUGGGUCUAGUGGCGAACGGGUGAGUAACACGUGGGCAACCUGCCCCCGGCUCUGGGAUAACUCCAAGAAAUUGGGGCUAAUACCGGAUGUGACCGCUGGCCGCAUGGUCUGGUGGUGGAAAGGGUUUCCGGCUGGGGAUGGGCCCGCGGCCUAUCGGCUUGUUGGUGGGGUAGCGGCCUACCAAGGCGACGACGGGUAGCCGGCCUGAGAGGAUGACCGGCCACACUGGGACUGAGACACGGCCCAGACUCCUACGGGAGGCAGCGGUGGGGAAUAUUGCGCAAGGGGCGGAAGCCUGACGCAGCGACGCCGCGUGGGGGAUGACGGCCUUCGGGUUGUAAACCUCUUUCAGCAGAGACGAAGCCGCGAGGUGACGGUACCUGCAGAAGAAGCACCGGCCAACUACGUGCCAGCAGCCGCCGUAA
rnacentral:rRNA from 1 species